rnacentral:lncRNA from 1 species
CAAACACUCGUUCUUAUUUGUUUGUCUGAUAAGAGCAGUAACCUGAGUAUAUCUGUACCCUCAGAGCUGGCUGUGCUCCUCUGGACCUCUGACGUGGGUCGGGUGGCUGGAAGAGGUCCUCAGUAAAGAGGCUGACGCUCAUACAUGACCACAAGCACGCCAUCUUUUGUCGAUCAGAUUGAUCGGUGGUUCCUCUGAGUAAACUGUGACGUCACUGCGAGCUCGGCUCUCACAGAGGACGAGGAUGAAACCAGGCCAAGGACAGGAAGCAGAUGCAGCGAUGAAGCGUCCGGAGGCUCGAUCUGAUGAAGAGGCGUGACACUGCACAGCGGAGGAUCCAGAUCUGAAGCAGCACAGACACACAACAACAAACGGGGGCGUCUGUAACCUCCCUGCACGCCGCACGCCGCCGACCAGCAGGCCGCCAUGACGGCUCAGAGUGAGCAACACAGGCUGUGCAGGUACAGAGGCUCCGAACAUCAGACUGUAGUGUAGGUCUCCACAGACACAACCCUGAUGAAAGACAACAAAUCUUCACAUUUAUCCAUCAACAUCUGAGAAUAUAUCCAGCCUCUCACUGCUGGAGGAUGUGAGGGUUUGAACCCAGUGACGCACAUCAGAAGCUGCGCCUGUACAAACAGUAACGAGCAGUGACAUCCCAAGAGCAAGAGGGCAGUGGUGGCCUGGAGGUGAGGGACCAGGGGAGGUCAGGAGUUUGAUCAGCAGGACCCAGUAAAAGAGCAGCACCUCCCUCAGGAGUCAGAGCCUGUAUGUAGACCCCUGGAGGAGGUGCAGCUCUGCGACCUUAAAGGUUUAACCUGCUGAUCUCAGCGUCCACGGCCCACUGUACACGCUGCCUGGAACCACACACAGAAGUGUUUUCAUGUCAGUGGCCUUCAGGAGCAGCACUGCUGACGUGACAGCAGCUAGAAGCUGCAG